rnacentral:rRNA from 1 species
UACGUAGGGUGCAAGCGUUGUCCGGAAUUAUUGGGCGUAAAGAGCUCGUAGGUGGCCUGUCGCGUCGGCUGUGGAAAACUCGGGGCUCAACUCCGAGCUUGCAGUCGAUACGGGGGCAGGGCUAGAGUUCGGGCAGGGGGAGACUGGAAUUCCUGGGUGUAGGCGGGUGGAAAAUGCGCCAGGAUAUCAGGGAGGGAAACACCCGGGGUGGGCGAAGGGC